GUCCCUGCCAGCAACUCUGGCCCACAGAUGUCUCCCGAUGCAGCCCCACCCUUGCUUGGUUGCUACAGUGGGCUCUGCAAAUGAUCUGCACGCCAGAGUCAUAAUCAACCUUAAGGGGAACUUCAGCGAAAGGAACCAAAGAAACCUGCAGACUCUGUAUCUUUACCCAGGGAUCGCUUCCUGGUGGUGAAUGUAAGCAGCUCUUCUGUGGCAUGGAGCAAUCACUAGGUGCAGUAACAGUACACUGCAAUGUGCAAAGAGGGAAAUGAAGACGAGCUCAUCCAAAGGAAACUACACAGGCAUUUUAGAUCAGCCCAAUGCAAUUAUCCAAGCUGGAAUCAUUCCAGGACACCAAGCCACACACUAAAGGUCAAAAGCAGAGGAGUGCAAGAGAUCUAGCCGAGCACUAGAGACCC
rnacentral:lncRNA from 1 species